ACUGCUCCUCCUCUUCUUCCCCACUGUAUUGUGGGUAAUGGGGGUGUGCGUAAACGCGCUUGUUCUCUGGACGCCAUCUUUACUAUUGGCAGGAAGACCCGUUGCCAGGGUUACCUGAGGCCCUGAUUUAAUGAGUGGGAUGGGUACCAGAGCUCCAAUAGCAGUCCAACUAGGAGAAUAAUUUGUAGAUGGUAGGUGCCCAAUACAAUACACUACUUAUUAAACGAUGAAAAGCAGCGUAUUUCAUGGAGAAAGACAUCUUUGAAUAUGGACUUCACCAUGGCCUGGUUAGCUAAGAGUGUGACUGGAGCUUCCUGUGCAACGGCCCUGCAGAAAACCAACCUCACCGCCCAGGAACUUCAGGAAGCAGGUCGCCAACAUCAAAACUUCCAAAAAACAUCAAAAGAGACAGUUGAAGCAGUCUCAGAGGAGCCUGGCCUGGGGCUCUUCCUGCGGGCUGGUCUACCCCUUCCUUAUGGAAGGAAGGGCAAUCAGCUUUGUGGACAAGAUAUACUGCGAUGGGUAUUUUAAGUAAUACAAGCUGGUAAAGAUCAAGCUUCACUAGAAUAUUUUUGUUAAGGGUCCACAAGCACUGGGGCUUACUUCUAGGGACCCAACCAGGAACUACAGAAGCUAAGAAGACCCAAACCAGGCUCGAGCAAAGGGCAGGAGAAAAUGUGGCAGUCUGGUGGGCUGGGUGAGUUACUCAGCAGAAUUGCAUUUGUAGAGGGAGCGUGGCGGCCAGUCAUGCCUGGGGUACCCCUGCAGGGCGGGCAGGGUGGGGAGGGCUGUGUUACCUUUGGUGGUCUCGCUGUCCCGGAUCAUGAAGGAGCCCAGCAUGUUGCCCGGGGCCAGAAGUUGGCGCUCCGCAUCCUUCCGGCUGAUGCCCUUGAAGAACCACCUGGUGGAAAGGGGUGGGAGCCUUGUGUGAACCUUGGAGUAGGCCAGUCCUGUCCCACCUCCACGGGGCGCCAGGAGACGGAGUGCCUGGCUUCCUGCAGCGUUCAUUUUCCUACAAGAUUCUUUUGGGAAAAAUCACCAUUCCCAAAUGGUGAUUUGAAAUCAAAACAGAGACAUUUUUACUCGGAGUGAAUCCAGUUUGCUGAGAUAGAAACUUAUGCAAUUUGGGGAGAUUUCUUUAAGAAAAAUGAUACCAAAAGAAAGAGCCCCCCUCCCCAAAAGACUAUUAAAAAAAAACAAAAAAAGAAAAAGAAAACUGUUUUUAAAGAAAAAGAAUACAGCAUUACAAAUACAAAAUGCCCAUGGGUCAUUCCAUUGCCACCCACUGUUAGGGAUAUGGUGAUGGAUAGAAAGACGGGAAUGGUAAGGUAACAGCAGUCUUAACCAACUGUGGUCAAAAUCUGGCUUUUGCAAAUUUCACAAGGCCACAUGACCAUCCUCUCAGGGUCUCCGAGGUCCAUGUGAGUGGAGGCCUGAGAUUCGUAAACUUCACAGUGUAUCCUCUCCUGUGGGUAAAGUUGAAUACAAAGUCAGCAAGAGGGGCGCCUGGGUGGCUCAGUUGGUUAAACAGCCAACGCUUGAUUUCAGCUCAGGGCAUGGUCGUGUAGUUCGUGAGUUCAAGCCCCACAUCAGGCUCUGUGCUGAAUACCUGCUUGGUAUUCUUUCUCUCCUUCUCUCUCUGUCCCUCCCCAGCUCAUGUGUGCUCUCUC